rnacentral:rRNA from 1 species
GAUGAACGCUGGCGGCGUGCCUAACACAUGCAAGUCGAGCGAUUCUCUUCGGAGAAGAGCGGCGGACGGGUGAGUAACGCGUGGGGAACCUGCCCUGUACACCCGGACAACAUACCGAAAGGUAUGCUAAUACGCGAUAAUAAGCUUUUAUCGCAUGGUAGAAGUAUCAAGUCUUUCGUGGUACAGGAUGGAACCGCGUCGCAUUAGCUAGUUGGUAAGGUAACGGCUUACCAAGGCGACGAUCAGUAGCCGACCUGAGAGGGUGAGCGGCCACAUUGGAACUGAGAAGCGGUCCAAACUCCUACGGGAGGCAGCAGUGGGGAAUGUUGCACCAUGGGCUGAAGCCUGAUGCAGCAACGCCGGGUGAGCGAUGAAGGCCUUCGGGUCGUAAAGCUCUGUCAUCAAGGAAGAUAAUGACGGUACUUGAGGAGGAAGCCCCGGCUAACUACGUGCCAGCCGCCGCCGUAA